CCCACUGUAUUUAUGAGUGCCUUAAAUGGGUUUGAUAUUUGACUUCUAUAGGUCUGAUUGAUAUUUCACUUCUAUAGGUGUCAAUUGAAGGAAUCUGACCUUAUAGCAAGACCGCAUGAAUCACGCAAGGCUAACUGCCGGAACCCACGCUUGCACAGAUCCAACAAGCCGGCAAUCAGGUCAGAAGGCCAAACUCUGCGCAUUCACCUUACUCUUAACUCUUUGUACUGACUCCAUUUUGAAAGGUUUAAAGAAGGCUCACCGAAAACGAGUUGACAAUUUAUUCAGGUCGACAGCGAGCAAAACGGCAAGGCGAAACAGAAACACUCAGGCGGGGAGGCAAGGUCACCUUAUCACACGUCAACAAAAGGUUCCCGAGAAAAAUGACAACGAUUAGUUAAACAUUCAGUCUUUUGAAGGCUCUCGCGGGGCGGGCUGUGGGCAGGAAGAAGGGUGUGUUUGGGAUCAUUGUCUGUUUGUGGAUUGGACAGGAGGAUUCGCGAGUUACUGAUGUCCUGGCAAAGAGGGUUGUGGAUUUUGCUACUUCAGUGUCAAAAUGGCUCUUGGAGUCUUGUCAGUCGUGUUAUCAGUUGGAUAUCAGGCGUUCUCCUGUGUUCCUUGUGUUGGGACAGAGCGUCCCGCCAUUUGUUCUGGACUGUCCGGGAGAACUGAUUGCGGGAGUUGGUGUGUCAAUCUUGCUAAGUCAGUUGUAUCACGCACGCACUGGGCUUCCGUUAUAAGAAGGUGUUGUUUAUCCCUUAUGCCCUAUAUUCUGCUCGUUUUCCUUAAACUAUGGUAUAAGUGCUAUUUAAUUUAUAUUGGGUGUGUUAGAGUAUUACAGUUAGACGAGAAAAGGUACUAUCGCCUUCACAAUGGAGUUGGAGGACUUUUAAUUGUUCAUUUCUAAGACACUUAACUCAUUGGCAGCAAAUAAACUUGGGCUGCAGCUUUAAUAAUAAUCGGAUUCGGAACAUGUAAUGCGUUGCAGAAUCAAUUUUAGGAGAAACACCAAGGCUUGCUAAGUUUGCACUUUCAAAAGAGCAUAAAAUGCGAAUACAAAAUGUAAUUCCCGAGUGUUUCUUCAAACUGCAGAAUUCUACUUUGAUUUCAAAAUAAACCAAAAUACUGAUUUAAAAAUAAAUUAAAAUACCUGAGCUAAAAAUAAAAAAAUUGUGAUCUAAGUACAGCAAAACAAUUUGGUUGGAGGCGGACAUAAAUGGAGUUAGUGACGUAAUUUGCGGGAUGACACUUAAUGACAUCUGUCAUAAGCAUUCAUUAAUGCCCAUGAUAAUGUCAUGUCAUAACUAUGACAGUCAUAUGGCUGUCUUAUGACGCCGCUGUCAAAUGAAGUGUUACCUAUUAACCCAAAUAAAUCAACAAAUAAGCCGCACUGGACUAUAAGCUGCAGGAUUCAAAAUGAGGGAAAAAAGUAGCGCCUUAAUAGUCUGAAAAUUACGGUUAAUAUGUUAAGCUUUAUAGCAAUACAUAUAGCAAUACACAUACAUAUACGGAAUAAUACUGUAUUUAAAUAAUUGUUGAGUUAGGUCUGAUAGUUGUUUUUAACAAAACGUUUGGGUGCAGAAUCUAAACUGAUAUGUAUUUCACAAUUACCUUAAAUUUUGAACCAUAAGAUUCCCGUUUUCCUAGAAAAUAUAAAAAAUACUGGACUUAAGAGAUGUGCUGUUUUAUUAAAAAAAAAAAAAUGUUGUUACAAUGGAUAUGGCUGUUGUGUGUAGGGCUGUCAAAAUUAUCGCAUUAACGGGCGGUAAUUAAUUUUUUUAAUUAAUCACGUUAAAAUAUUUGAUGCAUUUAACGGACAUGCCCCGCUCAAACAGAUUAAAAUGACAGCACAGUGAAAUGUCAUCUUGUUAAUUGUGUUUUUUGGAGUUUUGUCACCCUCUGCUGGCGCUUGGGUGCGACUGAUUAUAGGCUUCAGCACCCAUGAGCAUUGUGUAAGUAAUCAUUGACAUCUAAAAUGGCGGGCUACUAGUUUAUUUUUUGAUUGAAAAUUUUACAAAUUUUAUAAAACGAAAACAUUAAGAGGGGUGGCAACUAGUUUAUUUUUUGAUUGAAAAUUUUACAAAUUUUAUUAAAACGAAAACAUUAAGAGGGGUUUUAAUAUAAAAUUUCUAUAACUUGUACUAACAUUUAUCUUUUAAGAACUACAAGUCUUUCUAUCAAUGGAUCGCUUUAACAGAAUGUUAAUAAUGUUAAUGCCAUCUUGUUGAUUUAAUGUUACAAUAAACAAAUACAGUACUUAUGUACUGUAUGUUGAAUGUACAGUAUAUAUCCAUCUUCUGUCUGAUCUUUCCAUUCCAACAAAAAUUUACAGAAAUAUGGCAUAUUUUAUAGAUGGUUUGAAUUGCGAUUAAUUACGAUUAUUUAUUUUUUAAGCUGUUAUUAACUCGAUUAAAAAUUUUAAUCGUUUGACAGCCCUAAUUUUGCGCAAGUAGUAACGACAUGGUAACAACAUAAGUGUGGAGAAUUUGGAAUUAGCAUGCUAAUUUUAGUGAUAACAUAAAAAUCCCACUUAACAUUUAAAAAAUUGUAACAUAACAUGCCGAAAAAUUAAAUGUAUAGGUAGUCCCCGGCUUACGAACGAGUUCUGUUCCUACGCUGUCGACGUAAACCAAAUUUCUGCGUAAGUCGGAAUUAAUACUUUAAGUACCCAUCAAUACCCACUAAACCUCAAAAUAACUACCCAAAACAUGCACAUCACGUCAUUGUACCGUCCUCUUUAAGUCCUAGCUAGACAGCGAGCUAAAUUCCGAAAUGACGUCAGACUUCCGUGUGGUUUGCUGACUUUAUGAAAAUAAAAAUGAAAAUAAAUCCAUUUCAUCUUCAAUAACCGCAAUUUAAAUUUGCGUUUAUAACUACCUCCUGAUACAGCAUUAAUAAUCCACACAAACGAUUGGCAUGUAUCAUUUAGCGUCUGCACAUCAUCAAAAACAAUCACAUAAACUCGCCCCAAGCAUUUGACCACAAUUGAAACGCACAAUAAACACUACGCAAGGUGUUAUAUACAGGUGUUGCAUCUGUGGAUGCUUCACAAGCAACGAAUGUGCGCGCAGGUUUGCAGCUGUAAUCUUUUACCUCUCUCUCUCUCCUUCGUGUGUACGUGAGCUUUUACUCGCGCUAGUUGCGCUGUGCUUCCUGCGGCAAAAUAAAAGCAUGCAUCACAAAACAACAGUCAACAUUAUUUAAAAAAAAAAAAAAAAAAUGCCUGGAGACAAAAGGCGGACGAGACUGCAGUGUCGUGAAUUCGAAAUCACGUAAGUCUUGUACGUCGUAACCUAGAGACUGUACUUCCUAUUUCAUCUCUUUUCCUAUGUUCCGUUCUGUUUUACACGUUUAAAUAAAAGCAGCCACUCUAACAUUCCCCAGCAUUUAGUUGGCUUGGGCUGUCACUUCUCCUCAUUAAUUUAAAGGAGUGUAACAUCCACAUUACUCUACUUGACAUUAAAUUGCUUAUUUAAUGGUGGCUAUGCCUCUAAUGUAGCAUAUUUAAAGUAUAUUUUAUAGCCCAGGCUUUUGCUGUAGAUGACAUUUACAGCAAGAGCUUUAAGAGUCAUUUAUUUGUCCAAACGGUGCCUUUGGAUGACGUCAAGCUGGCAUCCAGGCUGUACAGUAAAUCCGUUCCGCAGAUCACAAAUGAGAAUAGUAUCCAUAUUCAGAGGAGACAGUUUUUCCUUUUUACGCCAUCAUGACUCACAUCCCAAUUGUGCUACUUGAAAGCUCCCAAUAUGUGAAUUGUGUCACUUGUAAAUUGAGCCUUCGUGACUUCUCUCUCUCCAUCGCGGCUCCUCACUGGAGAAGGCAACGUAACCACGAACCGGCUGCCCCCGAGCCCUCCUCCUCUCCUCCUCGCGCGUCGUCGUCGUCCUCGUCAUCAUCAAGGUGUUCUAAGUUUAACAAGGAGGCCGCAGGAAUUUGUCACGAUUCACGUCGUCUAAAAUUAACCCUCUGAUCUGUAAGGCGGUAAAUGAAGAUGAAAGAAGCAUGCUUUUUAUUUAUUUAUUUUUUACCAUCGGUCUCUUCAUCAUCUUCUGUGUCCCCCUCGGACUCCAGUGGCGAUUCUAGGCGGACGUCUCUCUUCACCGUUAUAUCACCCCUGUCGCAUUAAAGAAAAUAAAUUUGUAGCAUGUUUUUAGUCCUUUUCUGUCACAUCUAAAAAACUUAUUAAAAACUUCACACAAAAACGGAGGUAAGAUCUAUUAGAGAAUAAAGCAAGGGUAUAAAUUUGGUCUCAUUAUUGGUUGGGACGAUAUACAGUGGGGCAAAUAAGUAUUGAGUCAACCACCAACUGUGCAAGUUCUACUUGAAAAAAUUUGAGAGGCCUGUAAUUGUCAACAUGGGUAAACCUCAACCAUGAGAGACAGAAUGUGGAAAAAAAACAGAAAAUCACAUGGUUUUAUUUUAAAAGAAUUUAUUUCCAAAUUAGAGUGGAAAAUAAGUAUUUGGUCACCUACAAACAACCAAGAUUUCUGGCUGUCAAAGAGGUCUAACUUCUUCUAACGAGGCUCCACUCGUUACCUGUAUUAAUGGCACCUGUCUUACUCAUUAUCGGUAUAAAAGACAUCUGUCCACAAGCUCAGUCAGUCACACUUUUUUCUGAACACGUUUUAUUGAAGACAACGCAAAACAUAUACCAUUUGCAGCCACCACUGACAGUCAUGGUUGCCCAACUUCCCAUCAUGCAUUUGGGCGGAACAGUUAAGUCACUACAGUAUCAUUUAGUGAAAGCACAACAAGAAUAAUAUUCCUAUCUCACAAAAAGUUCACAAAAAGUAAAGCGCUCAAUGCAAAGAGAACUGGCAUUCCCAAUUAAAAUAGCUAUACAAAAUACACAUAAAACUUACUCAGACUUUGCCUUAACUAGAUCUCUAAUUAAUUUAAAACUCGCCAUUGACACCUUGUGGUGUAUUUCAAUCUCUACCUUACGUAGUUACAGACACUGUGGAAGAAAGGCAGGGAGCCCAUGUAACGUCCCGCUCGGCAACGUCAAUUUAUUUAAUUUUUGAUUGAAAAUUUUACAAAUUUUAAUAAAACGAAAACAUUAUUGAAGGUAUUUAAUAUAAAAUCACUAUAACUUGUACUCACAUUUAUCUUUUAAAAACUACAAGUCUUUCUAUUCGUGGAUCCCUUUAACAGAAAGAAUGUUAAUAAUGUUAAUGCCAUCUUGCAGAUUUAUUGUUAUAAUAAACAAAUGCAGUACUUACAGUGGGGCAAAUAAGUAUUUAGUCAACUACUAAUUGUGCAAGUUCUCCCAAUUGAAAAUAUUAGAGAGGCCUGUAAUUGUCAACAUGGGUAAACCUCAACCAUGAGAGACAGAAUGUGGAAAAAAAAAAAAAAAAAACAGAAAAUCACAUUGUGAAUUUUAAAGAAUUUAUUUGCAAAUCAUGGUGGAAAAUAAGUAUUUGGUCAAUACCAAAAGCUCAUCUCAAUACUUUGUUAUGUACCCUUUGUUGGCAAUAACUGAGGCCAAACGUUUUCUGUAACUCUUCACAAGCUUUUCAUACACUGUUGCUGGUAUUUUGGCCCAUUCCUCCAUGCAGAUCUCCUCUAGACCAGUGAUGUUUUGGGGCUGUCGUUGGGCAACACGGACUUUCAAGUCCCUCCACAGAUUUUCUAUGAAGUUGAGAUCUGGAGACUGGCUAGGCCACUCCAGGACCUUGAAAUGCUUCUUACGAAGCCACUCCUUUCUUGCUCUGGCUGUGUGUUUGGGAUCAUUGUCAUGCAGAAAGACCCAGCCAUGUCUCAUCUUCAAUGCCCUUGCUGAUUGAAGGAGAUUUUCACUCAAAAUCUCUCAAUACAUGGCCCCAUUCAUUUUUUCCUUUACACAGAUCAGUCGUCCUGGUCCCUUUGAAAAAAAAACAGCCCCAAAGCAUGAUGUUUCCACCCCUAUGCUUCACAGUGGGUAUGGUGUUCUUCGGAUGCAAUUCAGUAUUCUUUCUCCUCCAAGCACGAGAACCUGUGCUUCUACCAAAAUGCUCUAUUUUGGUUUCAUCUGAACAUAACACAUUCUCCCAGUCCUCUUCUGGGUCAUCCAAAUGCUCUUUAGCGAACCGCAGACGGGCCUGGACGUUGACUUUCUUCAGCAGGGCGACACGUCUGGCAGUGCAGGAUUUGAGUCCCUGGCGGCGCAUUGUGUUACUGAUAGUAGCCUUUGUUACUAUGGUCCCAGCUCUCUGUAGGUCAUUCACUAGUUCCCCCCGUCUGGUACUGGGAUUUUUGCUUAUCGUUCUUGUUAUCAUUUUGAGGCCACGGGGUGAGACUUGCAUAGAGCCCCAGAUCAAGGGAGAUUAUCAGUGGUCUUGUAUGUCUUCCAUUUUCUAAUACUUGCUCUCACAGUUGAUUUCUUUACACCAAGUGUUUUACCUAUUGCAGAUUCAGUCUUCCCAGCCUGGUGCAGGUCUACAAUUUUGUUUCUGGUGUCCUUCGACAGCUCUUUGGUCUUGGCCAUAGUGGAGGAAAAUUGCAUGGAAAUUGCUUUCCCACAUAAGGGCUACACGUUUAAAUCCCUGGAUUUAAACGGUGUUCAGGUGUGUGUAGAAGGGGCUUAGAGUAACGGCAAAAUAAGAUUUAAUUCAGUGGUUCGCAAAGUGCGCUACACUGACUCCCUCUAGUGGUAGGGGAAAGAUUGACUCAACUAAAUAGUCAAACGAUUUUUUUCCUAGGCAUUCAACACAUACAGUUCUGUUGGAUUUAACUUAAACGAAAGAAGAUCAAAUGUUUUAGAACGGUUUCUUUUCAAACAAAUUAGGAAGAUUAAAUGUCAUAUCACUUAACCACAUGCACUUAUGCUCGAGUCUAUUAGUGUAUAUGUGUGUGGGUAUAACUGACAUCACAAGAUGGCUGCAAUUAGAUGUGUGUCGUAUUUUGUGUUUAAACAUUAUUUUCUCCACUAUCAGAGGUUGAAGAAAUUCACAGUUUGCAUACUUAACCCUCUCAGGGGUCUCACAUGGUCACUACAGUGGACAUCUAUUCAAAUGUUAUCAACUUAUUCACUGCCAGCUCAGAUUACAGAGUAUGUUUUGUGGUAGUUAGUAAAAGAGGGAAAUUGAUGUUGAAAAGUGAAAAGUGAAAACACAUACAGUGAGGAAAAUAAGUAUUUAAACACCCUAUGAUUUUGCAAGUUCUCCCACUUGGAAAUGAUGGGCGAGGUUGAAAUUUUCAAGGUAGCUGCUUGUCCACUGUGAGAGACGAUCUAAAAAAAAAUACAGAAAUCACAGUGUAUGAUUUUUUUAAAACAUUUUUUUUGUAUUAUACUGCUGCAAAUAAGUAUCUGAACACCUGAGAAAAUCAAUGUCAAUAUUUGUUACAGUAGCAUUUGUUUACAAUUACAGAGGUCAAACGUUUCCUGUAACUUUUCACCAGGUUUGCACACACUGCAGCAGUGCUCCACACAGAUCUUCUCGAGAUUUGAGCUUCCUCCAAAGAUUUUCUAUUGGGUUUAGGUCUGGAGACUGGCUAGGCCCUCUAGAACCUUGUUAUGCUUUUUACGAAGGCAAUCCUGAGUUAUUCUGGCGGUCUGCUUCAGGCCAUUGUCAUUUGGGAACAGUGGCGGACUUGGCAAUUUUGGGGCCUAAGGCGAACAUAUCCAGGGGCCCUCUUCAUGGGUCAAGGGUUAAAAAGGUGAGAAGGGUGUGGAGGAAAUAUGUUCCGGUACACUAGGGCUGUCCUAAACGACAAAUUUUCUCCUGAUUAGUCAGCCGACUAGUUUUACGAUUAGUCAACUAAUCUAAUAAUUUUCUUUCUUUUUUUUUUUUUUACUAAUUUAGCAAUGAAAUUUUUGUUGACACUUAUUAAUUCACAAAACCAUUUUUGGAACACUUAAUUUUUUUUAUUAAAGUGCAAAUAAUCAUGUACAUAACAAUAAUUAAUCACAAACAAUGAGGUUAAAUACUGAUAGCAUUUACUAGUGCAAAAGAAUGGAAAGUAAACAGAUUCAGAACACUGACUUUGCAUUAUCUAUUCAUUGCCAAUCGUAUUUGUCAUAAAGAGUGUCAUUUGAAAACUAUUCUUAGUGUAGAAGCUGUAUUCUGUAGUAUUUACUCUACAUAUUAUAAUAUUAAUUCUGAGGUACUGUAUGUGGGAUUAACUCCAGAAAUCGUUAUUUAUAUGACGAAUAUGACGUGCUUUUAUUUUGAAAUGUUAACCGGAGGUACAUUUGCUAAACCGCUAACCGAAAGCUUUACACUCCGUAAAAAAACAUUCUUCGUCAUUGCUUGUGGUGUCACUCAUAGAUUGUUUUUUUUUUUCAUUAGCAAAUGCUAUUAACCAGGUGCUGAGUGUUAUUGCAUGACUGAUUGGAACUGUACUGCAUUGUUUCGCCACAGGGUGUGCUGUCGUGUAUUUUAUGUUCGGUGUAAAGAAGAAAGUUAAGAGGCAUUAGUGGCCUGUUCUCAACUUCUCCCUCGCUCACUGCACUUUGGCUCUCAUGGAGAGCACGUUCGCUCAUGUGUUCGAAAUAAACGAUAGCCGACGUGCAAAGUAGCAAAUAUGCUGUAAAAAUAGCGAGCUUAGUGGCGUGAAAAACGCGGGAGAGCUAAGUGAAGCUACAUGACUGAUACUCAGUCCGUCGUCGUCGAACAGUCCAUUGUAGUGCGUGUGUGUGGGGGAGAGAUAAUAUAAAUGCAGCACUCAAAUGGCUUUCUUUUUUGUUAUUUGUUUGGUAUGCUGACAUCAUUAUACAUGACGAAUAGUUGGGGGUGCUGCUGGCUCCGGUGGCCCAAGCCCUUGCUCGUUGGGGCAAGAGCAGCUGGUUGGGGGCCCCCUACUGGUUGGGGACCUAAGGCAAUCGCCUACUACGCCUGAAUAGUAGAUCCGCCUAUGUUUGGGAAGACCCAGUCACGACACAUUUUCAAUGUAACUGAGUGAGGGAGGUUAUUCCCUUAAAUCUCACAAAACAUGGCCCUGGUCAUCUUCUCCUUAAUACAGUGGAGUCGUCAGAAAAAUAAAUGUGCAGAAAAAACACCCCCAAAGCAUGACGCUACUACCACCAUGCUUCACAGUAGGGAUGGUGUUCUUGGCAUGGUACUCAUCACUCUUCUUCCUCCAAACACUAGGAGUGGAAUUAAGACCAAAAAGUUCAAUUUUGAGCUUAUACGACCACAUGACUUUCUCCCAUGUUUCCUCUGGAUCAUCCAAAUGGUCAUUGGCAAACUUUAAACAGACCUGGGCAUGUGUUGGUUUAAGCUGGGGAACCUUCCGUGCCAUGCAUGAUUUUAAAUCAUGACGUCUUAGUGUAUUACCAACAGUAACCUUGGAAAUGGUGGUCCCAGCUCCUUUCAGAUCACUGACCAGCUCUUCCUGUGUAAUUCUUUCCUCACAAUUCAUAGGAUCAUUGAGACGCAACGAGGUAGAUCUUGCAUGAAGCCUCAGUCCGAGGGAGAUUGACAGUCAUGUUUAGCUUCUUCCAUUUUCUAAUAAUUCUUCCAACGGUGGAUCUUGUAUCACCAAGCUCUUUCCAGCCUUGUAGAGGUCUACAAUUAUGUCUCUCGUGUCUUUGGACAGCUCUUUGGGGUGUAUGAUGUGGGCAGGUGUCAAAUAGGUCAAAAGGCCAGACUCAAAAAGUCCACCUCGACUCCACUUAUUUUGGAGAAUGAGUGGAGUGGAGGUGGACUUUUUAAAUGCGACUUAAAGGUCUUUGAGGCUCACAAUUCUAGCUAAUAGACAGAUGUUCAAAUACUUUUUUGCAGCAGUAUAAUACAAAUAAAACUCUUUUAAAAAAUCAUACAUUAUGAUUUCUGUUUUUUUUUUUUUUUUUAGAUUGUCUCUCAUAGUGGACAAGCACCGACCAUGAAAAUGUCAAACCCGCCCAUCAUUUUUAAAUUGGAGAACUUGCAAAAUCGCAGGGUGUUCAAAUACAUAUUUUCCUCACUUUACUGACGGCAAUAGACGUCCAAUCUAUUUUAACUGGGAGGGGCUGGAAGCAAUCAUUCGAUCCCAAUUAAGAGUUAGGCUAUGUGAGGUCACAAUAGAUUUAAAAAAAAAAAAAAAAAAAAAAAAAAUCUUCCAGAGUAAAAUAAACACAGGUCCCAUUUAUUUGAAAACGCCUUUCUUCUUUCUUUCCAAUUACAAUUUGUUUUAAUGUAGGUUUUGAAUUUUUUUUGUUUUAAUAAUAUCGUCCUGUAGGCCACAAUUGGCCACAAGUUCGAGACCCCUGUCUUAUAUGAAUGUAAUAUACAGUGGUACCUCUACAUACAAAGUUAAUCCAUUCCAGGAGCUUGUUUGUAAGUCGAAAUGGUCGUAUGUCGAGCAGGAUUUUCCCAUAGGAAUACAUUAUAAUUCCAUUAAUUCGUUCCACAGCCCAAAAACCUGCACUAAAUCCUUAAAAAAUACUGCUGGUACUAUUACAAAUGGCAAUUACAUAUAGCAAAACAAAUAAAUAAUAAAUAAAAAUCGGAUUAAUAAUAUAAUAAUAAUAAUAAUUCCUGUAAUAGUGUAACGAAACGGGUUCUAAUAAGGUGGACGUUUUUUUUUCUGUACCUGAAGGCACCGCGGCGCUGACGUGACAAAGAGGGAGGGGAGCGGGUGAAAGUUUACUUUCGCUUUCAAUGCUUUCUUGAGAACAUCGUCAAUUGCGGCAGACAGCAGGCGUUUUGUGUUGAAUAAGUUGUGAAAGAAAUGAUGAAAACGUGGCGAAGCUGGCGAUUUCUCUGGAGAUGUUACCACAAUAAGAAUUGUCAGCUUAACUUAUAAAGACUGGCGAACGAUGGUCGGAGGAGGACCGUGGAGAUGUAUUGUUGAGCCAUUUCACAGAUGCCCACCCUACGCUCAUAUUUUUCUGUCAUUUGCAUCUUCAUUUAGAAGGUAAGCGUCAACUUUUUCCUUGUUUCACCACCUGUACCAACCUUUUCUGAAACCUGUGUUGAUUUGUCACACAAGAAAAUCCGCAAUGCAUUCGUCUGCGGUGCUGCCAUUGUCGUCGUAUUUCGAGCAUGUCAUCGGAUGUAGAAACAAAUGGCGAGUCAAAUUUUACGUCGGAUGUCGAAAAGUUCGUGUGUCGAAGCGAUCGUAUGUAGAGGUACCACUGUACUAGUAUUUAAGAAAAAAAAUCAUAACUUGUGCAUGAGUGAUUUAAAUACUUUGAGCAACGAUGAUUUCCCUCUUUUCUUUUCUUUCUUGUGAUUUUGAUUUUAAUGUUGAUGAUGAUGAUGACAAUGACAAUAAAUUCAAUUCAUCAUCAUCAUCAUCAUUAUCAAACUGUCUUUUAUAUGAAUCUAAUUCAUCCUAGGUGAUGUCCCCUGGUUUAAUAUCGUUAUUUAGUUUAAAAUAAAUCGAGUAGAAGUGUAUUCAUUUUAACAUUCUAACAUGGUCAAUUUAAAAAAAGGACUUUGUCAAUGGCGUGAUAACAGCUACAGGAGCUUUUAGAGUUAACCACCUCCAAAUUUUACAUUCAGCAAAAAGCCUUAUUUUUGAGAGAGCUUUUAUGUCUCACAAAUGAGCCACUGGUUACCCCAGACUCCUCUCCACUGUGUCGUGCGCUGCCGACAAUGCAGCUUUGGUGUUACCGUGACGACUAAUGGGCGGGAAUCCUGGAAGAAUUACGAGCAAAUCGGAGAAUAAGCCAGAGGAGCCUCACCAAGACAAUGCCAUAACAUACGACAAUCGAAAACAUGAACAACAUUGUAGCAGCAGAGUAAUCAUACCUAGUGGCAAGGCCCCAAAAGAAACCACCAGGUUGUCAACCGCAAGCACACAAGUGAUGAUGUCAUUGUGACCCUCCAACAGUCUCAAGCGAAACUUUGCUUUCUGCCAACAUGUUUUCAAAGAUGUCAGCUCUUUGUCUGAAAAGAAAAAAAACAAGAUUACGCUAAAUUUAUACUGAAGGUACGUUUUUCAAAUUCUGAUGAUUUACCUUCUUGUGCUGGUUGUCGCUCCUCAGACGCGUCUUGUCCUUCAUGUGACACUGGCGCGACAUGCGGUGCCCUCAGUUGUCGCUGAGCCGUCGCCGCUGACCCUCCUGUCCCUGGCCUCAGGAUCUUUGAGGCUGGGGGCGCUUGUGAUGGAAGGCCCUCAGGGGUGUCCUCCCUGUGCCAGUGCCCAAAACGAGAGCUGAAUGGUUAAGCGCGAAAGAUAGAAGCAGUGCUGUCAGUGUUAUUUCAGGUCAAUACUGAAAUGUUUAGCAGUUUCUGCUUCGGAAUGCUCUUUGUCUAAAACAGAGGUCGGCAACCUUAAUCUACUCAGACUCAGAUAUCAAAAGCAUUUGUGGGUGUAUUAUUUUUCCUCCGGAAGACGGUUCAAAUGCCAUACAGUUAUAUUGCUUUUUUAACCUGUAUGAAGAAAAAAGUUUGUGCUGCUUGUAUAAAAUCAAUAGGUUGCUAAAAGGAACCAAACAUUUGUUCAUCUCACAAAAUUAUUUUGAAAUAAGGAAAUUUGGUAAAAGCUUACUUGGAAAUAAAAUAAAUGUGGGAAAAUUAUGCCAUAGUUAAGAAUGUUUUCCAAACUCUGAAUCUGAAAUUGCAAUUAAUCAAUUACACUGGUCUAUAAAAUUUUGGAAAAUAUCUGCUUCAGAGAUUAAAAUGGCUAAAUUGUACUUGCUGUGGUGAAAUGGCUUGGAAAAUAAAAUUUUUUAGUGCUGGAUGGCUAAAGUAUUCAAGUUACAGUGGUACCUCGACAUACGAUCAUAUCGACAGAUGAUCCUUUCAACAUCCACGUAAAAUUUUACUCGUUAUUUGUCUCGACAUAUGACGACAUGCUCGAAAUACGACGAAUUUAUUGUAUUCCCGCAAGAUGCAUGCAUUUUCUUGCGAGAGAAAUCAACAUGGGUCCCAAAACGGUUAGUGCAGGUGGUGGAAAAAAAGGGAAAAAGGUGACGCUUACCAUUGAAAUUAAGAAGGAAAUGAUAGCAAAAUAUGAACGUGGUGAGCGCGUCAGUGAACUUGCUCGACAAUAAGGCCGGAGUAUGUCUCCGAUCUCGAGGACAACUCAUUAUUAUUGUAACUUUGUCAAGGAAGUCGCCAGCUUCGGCAGGUUUUCAAUCAUUUAUUUCAGAAAUUGUGCAACACAACACGGCUACUGUCCGCUGUAGCCGGCACCAACAAGAACUUCCCACUGUACCGCACCUUUGGCAAUCUCUCCUCAGUCACGGUGCGUUCAGGAACAGCAUGCAAAACACAACCGGCACAUUAGAAGCUAAUUUGUUACAUUAUUAUUAGAGAUGUGACCGAAAAUUAGGCACCGACAAUAACUAAAAAAUUGCAUUUUUGGUUUUCGGUUAAAAGACCGAAAGUUUACCACCGACUAGUGUGAAGAACCGUAGUCCUCUUGUGAUGACGUCUUCCAAACACUGGAAGUAUUUUGAGGGAAUAAAACAAUUAAAUGGAGGAAAACAUAAAAUUUGCUAUAUCGCUAUUACAUCCAGCGUUGCGAUGUUUGGAAGUCAUUUCAUGUUGUGAAUCAACCGUUAAAGUUGUUAAAAUUGCAUUAGUUCC